AGCGAACGCUGGCGGCAGGCUUAACACAUGCAAGUCGAGCGGAUGAAGGGAGCUUGCUCCUGGAUUCAGCGGCGGACGGGUGAGUAAUGCCUAGGAAUCUGCCUGGUAGUGGGGGACAACGUUUCGAAAGGAACGCUAAUACCGCAUACGUCCUACGGGAGAAAGCAGGGGACCUUCGGGCCUUGCGCUAUCAGAUGAGCCUAGGUCGGAUUAGCUAGUUGGUGAGGUAAUGGCUCACCAAGGCGACGAUCCGUAACUGGUCUGAGAGGAUGAGCAGUCACACUGGAAGUGAGAAACGGUCCGGACUCCUACGGGAGGCAGCAGUGGGGAAUAUUGGACAAUGGGCGAAAGCCUGAUCCAGCCAUGCCGCGUGUGUGAAGAAGGUCUUCGGAUUGUAAAGCACUUUAAGUUGGGAGCAAGGGUUGUAGAUUAAUACUCUGCAAUUUUGACGUUACCGACAGAAUAAGCACCGGCUAACUCUGUGCCAGCAGCCGCCGUAAGAC
rnacentral:rRNA from 1 species